GAGAUAAAUAUCGUUAAUAAUGCAGAAAUCAAAUAUCGUUAGCUAGGUCAGCUUGUAUGGGGAUGGGACGAUAUGAAACAAUUUAACCGUCCAGUCCACCACGUUUUGGCAAUGUUCCAACACUCUCGUCAUCACUGUUGCAUGCAUCACAAAAACUAUUACACUACUAACGCUUACAUAACAGUGUGAAAUAUCCACAUUAUGUAAUACCACUAACAUGUUUAAAGACACUCAAUUUAAAAAAUAAUGCAUAUUCCCGAAAUAUUUUGAGCAGUAAUACUUACAUAGCAAUGAUGAAAUCUUAUCUGUGUUUAGUAGAUAGAGACAGAGACAAUAUAUCAAUGAUAUAUUUCUAUCAAUUAGUUUAUUCUUAAGGAACAUGACUUCCUAGCUGAAAAAUGUAUUUUUAAUUAAAUAUUAAUUUAAUCAUGUGUGAAUACAAAUGUUGAAAUGUUUUAUUUGUUUACUUCCAGCUUCAUGUUACUGUUUGCCUGGAAGGUGAUUUGCCUGGACCUAUUUGUGUAGGCCCAGACAAAUACCAAUGCCAAUUUUGCCGCAAGGUGGGAGAGUACCCUGCACUGGUGGCACAUAUGCAGAACCAUGAGAAAUCUGCUGUUAAGCAUGAAGGUGUGGUGAACUGGAAAGCAUUUUCAGAAGAGCACAAAAGGGAAUUCAGGAGGACCUAUCGAAUUUCCAGUUGCCUUCAAUGCAGCAGACUAUAUAAAGACUGUGAUGCAGGCUACCGGGGAAGUGGACGACAAGGAAUCCUGCAGGGUUUUUACUCUGAGGAUGACUUCCCCGGGUACUGCAGCUGGGACUGUUUUUUCAAGGCUGGGGGCACAACAGUCUGAGUGCAUGACCCCCCUCUCUUCAUUACCGCCCUGUGUUGUCAUUUGUUAUGUGGCUGUGUUUGAUUGUUUUUAUGUUCAUCUUUCACCAUUUAUGAUUAAAUUACAUACUGAUCACUGAA